CGGCGGCACUGGGAAAGGUGCUUUGCUUGUUUUACAGCGAGGCAGGAGGAGGGAUGGGCAAGCAAAGUGAGAGCGGCGCAAAGCGGGACAGAAGCCAUGUAAGCGGCUCUCGCUUUGCUUGCUCCCGUCCGUCCCUCCUCCUGCCUCGCUGUAAAGCCAGCAGAGCAAGAGCCGCU
rnacentral:miRNA from 1 species